AUACGUAGGGGGCGAGCGUUGUCCGGAAUGAUUGGGCGUAAAGGGCGCGUAGGCGGCCUGUUAAGUCUGGAGUGAAAGUCCUGUUUUCAAGAUGGGAAUUGCUUUGGAUACUGAUGGGCUUGAGUGCAGGAGAGGUUAUCGGAAUUCCCGGUGUAGCGGUGAAAUGCGUAGAGAUCGGGAGGAACACCAGUGGCGAAGGCGGAUAACUGGACUGCAACUGACGCUUAGGCGCGAAAGUGUGGGGAGCAAACAGGAUUAGAUACCCUGGUAGUCCACACUGUCAACGAUGAAUGCUAGGUGUAAGAGGUAACGACCCCUUUUGUGCCGGAGGUACCACAAUAAGGAUUACGCCUGGCGAGUACUGCCGCAAGGUUGAAGCUCAAAUGAAUUGGCGAGG
rnacentral:rRNA from 1 species